GAUGAUGGCUCUGAUUGAACGCUGUCCAAAGGCUUGACACAUGCUAAUCAUACAUAAUUUAAGACAAAGUUCGAUGUUUAAUUAACUUUGAAAAAAAUUAGGUGGUGUAAAGGUGAGUAUAAAAUACUUUUAUUGCCUUAAGGUAAGGAAAAAAAAUUCCUUUAUAUUUUUGUACAACAAAAGUGAAGAAAUAUAACGUUUCGCUUUAAGAUAUUUAAGUGUUAUCAAGUUAAGUAGUUGUUGAGGUAAUUUCUUAACUAGCUUUGACUUGUAGUCAUAACUGAGAGGUUAAUUGACCACAUUGGGUCUGAAAAAACCCCAAUACGUAUAGUACAGCAGUGAGGAAUCUUGGUCAAUAGCCUAACGGCUGAACCAGCAAUUUGGGGGAAUGAAGUUAUAUAUUAAUAUAGACAUAUAUACGUAUCGACUAUGUCGUAUAAAGUUCUAAAUAGAAGAUUGAUUAUGACAGAUUUCUAUUUAUGUGUCUCGACCAAUUCUUGUGCCAGCAGUCGCGGCAACACAAGUGAGACUAGUGUUAUUCAUCUUUAUUAGGUUUAAAGGGUACCUAGACGGUAUUUUCAGCCUGCAGAAGGAACAAAAAUACUAGAGUUUUAUUUGAGAGGUAGAUAUUAGGACAAUUGGUGUAAAGAUGAUAUUUUUUGAUAUCAGUUGUACGGAUAACGGCGAAGGCAAUCCUCUAUCUAUAAACUGACGUUAAGGGACGAAGGCUUGGGGAGCGAACAGGAUUUGUUACCCUAGUAGUCCAGGCAGAAAAUUAUGAAUGUUAUAGACUAAGAAAAAAUUGGUGUAUAAAUGAAAGUGUAAGCAUUCCACCUCAAGAGUAAUGUGGCAACGCAGGAACUGAAAUCAUUAGACCGUUUGUGAAACCAGUAGUGAAGUAUGUUAUUUAAUUCGAUGAUCCGC
rnacentral:rRNA from 1 species